UAUUGUUUAGUGAGAAUGAUAUUUGUUCUUUAACAAUGUGGUAAAAAGUAUAAGUAAAGAUUCCUUGAUUAAUUUAGGGUUAUUUUUAGUUUAGGUUGAGAUGUAUUUUUAUGUCUUGAUUGAUUAUUAGAAAUAAUUUUUAGUUUAUUUAAUUAACGAGUCUUGGUAAUUUUUGAAAACUCGGUGUUGAGGAUAUAGUUUUGAUUGGUAUUAGUUAAUAGAAUUUUAGAUUUAUUCGAUAUAAGACUUUUUAGGGUUAUAGGUGAUCACGU
rnacentral:misc_RNA from 1 species